AGUGAACGCUGGCGGUAGGCCUAACACAUGCAAGUCGAACGGCAGCACAGUAAGAGCUUGCUCUUACGGGUGGCGAGUGGCGGACGGGUGAGGAAUACAUCGGAAUCUACUUUUUCGUGGGGGAUAACGUAGGGAAACUUACGCUAAUACCGCAUACGACCUACGGGUGAAAGCAGUGGAUCUUCGGACCUUUCGCGAUUGAAUGAGCCGAUGUCGGAUUAGCUAGUUGGCGGGGUAAAGGCCCACCAAGGCGACGAUCCGUAGCUGGUCUGAGAGGAUGAUCAGCCACACUGGAACUGAGACACGGUCCAGACUCCUACGGGAGGCAGCAGUGGGGAAUAUUGGACAAUGGGCGCAAGCCUGAUCCAGCCAUACCGCGUGGGUGAAGAAGGCCUUCGGGUUGUAAAGCCCUUUUGUUGGGAAAGAAAAGCAGCAGGUUAAUACCCCGCUGUUCUGACGGUACCCAAAGAAUAAGCACCGGCUAACUUCAUG
rnacentral:rRNA from 1 species